UACGGAGGGUGCAAGCGUUAUCCGGAUUCACUGGGUUUAAAGGGUGCGUAGGAGGGCAGGUAAGUCAGUGGUGAAAUCCUAGAGCUUAACUCUAGAACUGCCGUUGAUACUAUCUGUCUUGAAUAUUGUGGAGGUGAGCGGAAUAUGUCAUGUAGCGGUGAAAUGCUUAGAUAUGACAUAGAACACCAAUUGCGAAGGCAGCUCGCUACACAUAUAUUGACUCUGAGGCACGAAAGCGUGGGGGAUCAAAACAGG
rnacentral:rRNA from 1 species